UACAAUAAAAAAUACAAAAAAAAAAAAUUUUUAAACUUUUUUACUCUUAGGUUAAGAAUAAAGUGAUAAUUAAAUACACUCCUUACACAUCAUUUCCGUUGAAUAAGAUGCUUCUUCAAUCAUUGGACGAUGGAUACAAGGUCUUCAAUUAUUGGGCAAUGCUCGCAUGGUUCGUCAAUUAUUGGACAAUGGUUACGUUUUUAUUCCAUUAUCUUCAAUCAAUAACACUAAACUGACCUGAGCUGCUACGGUUGUAACUGAUUUUGAUUAUAUUUAUUUUGAUACUA